rnacentral:rRNA from 1 species
UACGGAGGGAGCUAGCGUUGUUCGGAAUUACUGGGCGUAAAGCGUGCGUAGGCGGUUAUUCAAGUCAGAGGUGAAAGCCCGGGGCUCAACCCCGGAACUGCCUUUGAAACUAGAUAGCUAGAAUCUUGGAGAGGUCAGUGGAAUUCCGAGUGUAGAGGUGAAAUUCGUAGAUAUUCGGAAGAACACCAGUGGCGAAGGCGACUGACUGGACAAGUAUUGACGCUGAGGCACGAAAGCGUGGGGAGCAAACAGG